UCUUCCCAGGCCCACCACUUUCAUCGAGUGAGCAUUCGUCUUCUGGUUACGGGGCCAUAGCUCAGCUGGGAGAGCGCGUGCUUUGCAAGCAUGAGGUCGUCGGUUCGAUCCCGUCUGGCUCCACCAGAUGGUUUGAUCACCUGCGACUGACCGUCGUCCGCGAAACAUCACUUCGCAUUCACUAGUCUGGAUAGACAGUGAACUGCGUGUUUUCUGACAUCGUAAAGAGGAGAUCGAUCCGAGUUGGGUCGUGCAGCAGAUUGUUGCGCGGAUCCUUCAUUAUCUCCGGAUCAUUUUCGGCGCUCGCUUUCAGCCGUGAGGCUGAACGCGAGUUGUAAAAUGAUCCUUUUAGCGAAGCUUGACCGCCUCGCUAUCGGAACGAUCUUAAGAAGCAAGCUGGUCUUUCUAGUCAAUGUCCGGCUGUGAGAAUAGCGCUCGUCGAGGGCGCGUGCCGCAAGGCGGUUCUUACAGGCAGCAUUCUGCCGAGUGUGUGGACAUUGAUAAUGAGAGCAAUCAAGUGCCUUAAGGGUGUUCGGUGGAUGCCUUGGCGCUGAGAGGCGAUGAAGGACGUGCUACGCUGCGAUAAGCCGUGGGGAGCUGCGAAGAAGCUUUGAUCCGCGGAUUUCCGAAUGG
rnacentral:misc_RNA from 1 species